rfam:Brenneria goodwinii strain OBR1 genome assembly, contig: Contig
GAGGUUGAUGACAAAGUGCGUCGAGCAGUGAGAAUGGGGAGAUCGUAAAGACGCCGCAAAUACGUCCCUGUCAGCUCGGGCCGCGCCAUCCCUGGCGCGGACGCUUU